GACUGAUAGCUUUCUUCUGACUUCCUCAGUGCUCACUGGCUGUGGGUCUCACCCGCAGCAAAGUGGCCGUCCCGCCCUCACAUCCCCUGCGACCCAACACCCUUCUUCUUGCCUUGAGGCUGCGCCUUAGACAGCCCGGGACUUAUUUUACAACAAGCCAGCCAUGGAAGCCCAGUUGUGGAUUCUCUUCCACUUGGAAAUUACCUCAAGAUGGAUUAUCUACAGCCUGUCUUUAACUGACAUGGUAUCAGCUGGAACUCCAGGUGGACACUAAUCCAAGAUAGCACGUGGAGCAAGACAUGCAGACCUGCAUCCUAUGCUACUUCUGGGUAUUUCUCAUACCAAGCCUCCACUUUUAAACCCCUCCCCUCAACUGAACACCUAAAAUGGUUUUUUAAAGAUAUGAGCCUGGCCAUUUCCCAGUUGGUAGCAUUUGAUAAAUAAAACUGCCUUCCUUUUACCACACUUCA